UAUAGCCUAAGCAGGCAGCAAAUCGGGCCUUCUUCCUACUGAUCCGAAAAACAAACUAUCUCGAAGAACGGCAUCUUUGGUUUUGCGCUCUUGUCUAUGUUCCUUGGAACAGGACGUCCCAGAGGGUGAGAAUCCCGNGCGAUGAGAUGCCCAAUUCCAUGUAAAGUUCCUUCGACGAGUCGAGUUGUUUGGGAAUGCAGCUCUAAGUGGGUGGUAAAUUCCAUCUAAAGCUAAAUAUUGGCGAGAGACCGAUAGCGAACAAGUACUGUGAAGGAAAGAUGAAAAGAACUUUGAAAAGAGAGUGAAAAAGUACGUGAAAUUGUUGAAAGGGAAGGGCUUGUUGAUCAUACUUGGAAUUUUCCAGCAACCCCCUUUCCGGGCCGGCAUCAGUUUGGAUGGCAGGAUAAAUUGCCCUACGAAAAUGGCACCCCCCCGCUUGGUGUGUUAUAAUCCUGCCGUCGAUAACUUCCUAUCCUAAUACUGAGGAACUGCCGUCUUUGACCUCAGAUAGCUGGCGUAGCUGAAUUGUAACC
rnacentral:rRNA from 1 species